ACGCUCGACACCUACGGGAGGCAGCAGUGGGGAAUAUUGCACAAUGGAGGAAACUCUGAUGCAGCGACGCCGCGUGAGGGAAGAAGGUUUUCGGAUUGUAAACCUCUGUCUUUGGGGACGAUAAUGACGGUACCCAAGGAGGAAGCUCCGGCUAACUACGUGCCAGCAGCCACGGUAAUCUGAGCGGGCUGGCAAGGC
rnacentral:rRNA from 1 species